rnacentral:rRNA from 1 species
AGUAAAACGUAAAUGACCUACCCCCAACAUCGGGACAACCGUUCGAAAGGAUGGCUAAUACCGAAUAAGCCCACGGAUCUGGAUCUGUGAGAAAAGGGCCGGGACCUUUUGAGGCCGGUCGGUUGAGGAGGGGUUUGCGGCGCAUCAGGUAGUUGGUGAGGUAACGGCUCACCAAGCCGAAGACGCGUAGCUGGUCUGAGAGGAUGAUCAGCCACACUGGAACUGAGACACGGUCCAG